GAGUAACGCGUAUGCAACCUACCUAUCAGAGGGGAAUAACCCGGCGAAAGUCGGACUAAUACCGCAUAAAACAGGGGCACCGCAUGGUGAUAUUUGUUAAAGAAAUUCGCUGAUAGAUGGGCAUGCGUUCCAUUAGGUAGUUGGUGAGGUAACGGCUCACCAAGCCGACGAUGGAUAGGGGAACUGAGAGGUUGGUCCCCCCACACUGGUACUGAGACACGGACCAGACUCCUACGGGAGGCAGCAGUGAGGAAUAUUGGUCAAUGGGCGGGAGCCUGAACCAGCCAAGUCGCGUAGAAGGAAGAAGGAUCUAUGGUUCGUAAACUUCUUUUGCAGGGGAAUAAAGUGCAGGACGUGUCCUGUUUUGUAUGUACCCUGAGAAUAAGGAUCGGCUAACUCCGUGCCAGCCGCGGC
rnacentral:rRNA from 1 species